rnacentral:rRNA from 1 species
UACGUAGGGUGCGAGCGUUAUUCGGAUUUACUGGGCGUAAAGCGUGUGUAGGUGGUUUGUUGCGUCCUUGAUUAAAGACCCAAGCUCAACUUGGGGAAUGUCGAGGAUACGGGCAAGCUAGAGGUUUGUAGGGGCAGAUGGAAUUCCUGGUGUAGCAGUGAAAUGCGUAGAUAUCAGGAAGAACACCGAUGGCGAAAGCAGUCUGCUGGACUUAUCCUGACACUGAGACACGAAAGCGUGGGGAGCGAACGGG